GCUGGCGGCAGGCUUAACACAUGCAAGUCGAGCGGUAGCAGAUCUAGCUUGCUAGAUGCUGACGAGCGGCGGACGGGUGAGUAACGCGUAGGAACCUGCCCAGUAGUGGGGGAUAGCCCGGGGAAACUCGGAUUAAUACCGCAUACGCUCUACGGAGGAAAGAGGGGCUUCGGCUCUCGCUAUUGGAUGGGCCUGCGUGAGAUUAGCUAGUUGGUGAGGUAAUGGCUCACCAAGGCGACGAUCUCUAGCUGGUCUGAGAGGAUGAUCAGCCACACUGGGACUGAGACACGGCCCAGACUCCUACGGGAGGCAGCAGUGGGGAAUAUUGCACAAUGGGCGCAAGCCUGAUGCAGCCAUGCCGCGUGUGUGAAGAAGGCUUUCGGGUUGUAAAGCACUUUCAGUGGGGAGGAAGGCCUCGUAGUUAAUAGCUGCGAGGAUUGACGUUACCCACAGAAGAAGCACCGGCUAACUCCGUA
rnacentral:rRNA from 1 species